rnacentral:rRNA from 2 species
AGGUGCGAUCAUACCAGCACUAAUGCACCGGAUCCCAUCAUAACUCCCCAGUUAAGCGUGCUUGGGCAAGAGUAGUACAAGGAUGGGUGACCUCCUCGGAAGUCCUCGUGUUGCACCUC